AAUAGAUACCCCGGUAGUCCACGCCGUAAACGAUGAGUGCUAAGUGUUAGGGGGUUUCCGCCCCUUAGUGCUGCAGCUAACGCAUUAAGCACUCCGCCUGGGGAGUACGGUCGCAAGACUGAAACUCAAAGGAAUUGACGGGGGCCCGCACAAGCGGUGGAGCAUGUGGUUUAAUUCGAAGCAACGCGAAGAACCUUACCAGGUCUUGACAUCCCAUUGACCACUAUGGAGACAUAGUUUUCCCUUCGGGGACAACGGUGACAGGUGGUGCAUGGUUGUCGUCAGCUCGUGUCGUGAGAUGUUGGGUUAAGUCCCGCAACGAGCGCAACCCUUGUUCUUAGUUGCCAUCAUUUAGUUGGGCACUCUAAGGAGACUGCCGGUGACAAACCGGAGGAAGGUGGGGAUGACGUCAAAUCAUCAUGCCCCUUAUGACCUGGGCUACACACGUGCUACAAUGGACGGUACAAACGGUUGCCAACCCGCGAGAGGGAGCUAAUCCGAUAAAACCGUUCUCAGUUCGGAUUGUAGGCUGCAACUCGCCUACA
rnacentral:rRNA from 1 species